GUUCGGGUUAAGUCCCGCAACGAGCCGCAACCCUUAUCCCUAGUUGCCAUCAGGUAAAGCUGGGAACUCUGGGGAGACUGCCGGUAGAUAAACCGGAGGAAGGCGGGGAUGACGUCAAGUCCUCAUGGCCCUUACAUCCCGGGCUACACACGUGCUACAAUGGCAGGUACAGAGGGCUGCGAAGCCGCGAGGUGGAAGCGAAUCCCAGAAAACCUGUCUCAGUCCGGAUUGAAGUCUGCAACUCGACUUCAUGAAGGCGGAAUCGCUAGUAACCGCGAAUCAGCAGGUCGCGGUGAAUACGUUCCCGGGCCUU
rnacentral:rRNA from 1 species